GUGUCUCAUCCAGUCACUUUUCAGGGAUGACAAAAAUACAUCACUGCCAGUCUGGAUGGCUAGCCAAUCCCUGCAGCCCUAGCUUUGUGCUCUGUGAGACUGCCUGAACAGCAAAGCUCUCCUCUGCUCAGGGCAACCCAGGAGGUCACUUACAUCAGCAGCCUCUCCAUCCGCAUAAGGUAGUGAUGGUGAUUCUGACCCAGAGAACCUUCCGGAGACCUCAGCUUAGAGCCCAGCACACAGUUU
rnacentral:lncRNA from 9 species